UACGUAGGGUGCAAGCGUUGUCCGGAAUUAUUGGGCGUAAAGAGCUCGUAGGCGGUUCGUCGCGUCGGCUGUGAAAUCCCGAGGCUCAACCUCGGGUCUGCAGUCGAUACGGGCGGACUGGAGUUCGGCAGGGGAGACUGGAAUUCCUGGUGUAGCGGUGAAAUGCGCAGAUAUCGGGAGGAACACCAACGGCGAAGGCAGCUUGCUGGGACGGUACUGACGCUGAGGAGCGAAAGCGUGGGGAGCAAACAGG
rnacentral:rRNA from 1 species